AUGCUGUUUGAGGGGAAGGACGGCCACGGUGUGCACCAAGAGAUGAAGAUAGUCUCCAUCGUCGGAUAUGGUGGAUUGGGCAAAACCACCAUUGCCAAAGCUGUUUAUGACAAGCUUAAGGUGAAAUUCCAGUGUGGGGCUUUUGUUCCGGUCGGUCAGUAUCCAGACAUGAAGAAAGUUUUCAUGGACAUUCUAAUUGGCCUUGACAAGGAAAAGUAUAUGAAUUCCAAUAUGAUGAUAUUGGAUCAGUAUCAGCUCAUCAGUGAAAUAAAAGAAUUUCUCCAGGAUAAGAGGUACUUCAUUGUUAUUGAUGAUAUAUGGGAUACACCAACAUGGGAAUUGAUAAAAUGCGCUUUGGUGGAUAAUGAUCUUGGAAAUGUGGUAAUCACAACUACUCGCAAAUCACAAGUUGAUAUGGGUGCUCUUGUUUAUACGCCAAAAGAGAUUUCGUAUAGGGACUCCCAAAAGUUGUUCUAUACAAAUAUAUUUGGUACAGAGGAAUGCCCUGAGAAAUACAAAUCAGCUGGCGUGUAUGAUAAAAUUACUGAGGUGUCUGAAAAAAUUCUGAAGAAAUGCAAUGGUUCUCCAUUAGCCAUCGCUACAAUAGCUAGUGUGCUAGCUAAGAAACCAAUCUUGAAAUGGUCACAUGCCUACAAAAAUAUAGGUUUUGGGCAUGAUGAAGAUGACUCACAAGUUAAGAGAACAAUGAAGAUAUUGUCUUUUAGCUAUUAUGAUAUGCCAUUGCAUCUACGGGCUUGCUUAUUAUAUUUAAGCAUAUUUCCGGAGGAUGAUUGUAUUCCCAAAACAAUGGUGAUAUGGAUGUGGAUAGCUGAAGGCUUUAUUCAUGAUAAAGAAGGGGUAGGUCAGUUUGAGCUUGGAGAAAGAUAUUUUAAUGAGCUUGUUAGUAGAAACAUGAUCAUACCUGUGGAGUUCACAAGAUCAGGCUUCCUUAAUGGUUGUCGUCUCCAUGACAUGAUACUUCAUGUCCUUCGUUCCUUGUCAAAAGAAGAAAACUUUAUCAGUAUAUUAGAUAAUGAGCAGCACACGUCCGUGGGCAGCCGGCGAGUUUCCAUCCAAAAGCUCGGCUUAGACAACAUCAGUACCCAGGUUGUUAUGGACAAGUCACAAGUGAGGUCAGUUGCUGCCUUUGGAGGUCUUAUGGACGUCUUGCCCCCGCUAUCUAGUUUCCCCGUGUUGCGUGUACUGGCAGUGGUGCUAAACUCUGUUUUGAAAGAAAGCCAUUAUCUGGAGGGACUUGGGAGCUCACUUCACCUUCGGUACAUCAGUCUAUUGCUUACACGUACACGUCAAUUCCCAAAAGAUAUUGGUCAUCUAAAGUUGCUGCAGGUACUGGACAUCGGGUGCAGUGGCAUAGAAGAACUGCCGGACAGUAUGGCCCUGCUACAGGGAUUGAUGUGCCUACAUGCUGACAGGAAGACAAGGAUGCCCGAUUGGCUUGGGAAGCUGACUUCCCUGCAGGAGCUGUGGAUUUGGCCUGCUGCCGACAAGUAUGCACGCUUUGUGGAAGAGUUGCGCAAGCUGAGGGAGUUGAGGGUGCUGUUAACAUGCAAUGAUGCGCCUGAUGAGAGCGUGGAGAAAUAA
rnacentral:rRNA from 1 species